CUUUUGUCAUGGCCAACAUCUCCAGGGGCAGCACUGCUGGAAAAGAGGCUUAGGACCGGAGUGAGAAGUUUUAGAUGAAAGGCAUCCAGUGCGGAUGUCAGCUCCAAGGUGCACUGUUCCCUCUGAGAAGGGAAUCAGUGCUGCCUCAGCUCAGACAAGCCCUGUUCUCCACCCUCCACCAGCUCCCAGGCUGCAGCUGCUGCUUCUUCUCAGUUGCAAUUUUCCCAGGAAAACAAAAAAUUCUCUGUGAACAAGUCACCUCAUGGGAAACUUGUCCAAAUUCCAAGUGUCCUGGUGGCAACCAGAGAAAGCAGCCUCAGCAGAAGCAUCUCCUCCUCUCCUGAGAUUAUAAUCACAGCACAACACUCUUGCCAUUCCUUUAAGAACCAACAAAACCUCUCUAUCAGUUAUAUUUCUGAAAUCAACCUAAACACGACUUAUGGUUCCAUGUACUUGGAAUGAGUUUUUUCUUCUGAAUGAAACCACUUCUGUUUUCAACUUCCAAUCCCAACUCUUUCUGCUCCACUGCUACAGAGAAUCAGCAGUUCAAAGGGACUAAAGAAAAUUCACCACAAAGAGCUCACACUAACAAAGCACAACAAAUAUAUAUAUAAAUA